GACCCCAUGUGGUCCGCCCGUGACUACAGAUAAUCUUUUUCGACGAUGCCGUCAACUUGCCUCUCCGAUGUGAUUGUGAGAGCUUUUCUCUUUCUCUUCCCUUGUUUUGGUUUUCGUUUUUUGUCCUUUUAUUUCAUUUUUUGAUUUAUCAUUUAGUUUUACUAGUUCUAAUUUAUGUUUUAUGAGUUAUGACUGUGUUUUGUGAUAAAUAAUUCAAGAUGAAAUCCCUACCAGCUACCUUCUAGUUCCUGUUAGGUUGUUGCUAAUUCAAUAGAUUUUGGAGAUUAUAAAUAAUUUGAACUUUGUCAAUAUAAUAAUGCUUGUUUAAUUAAUUUUAGUUGUAAAUUGAAUAUUGGUAUUUUAUUAAUAUAUAUUGCCUAUUUAAUUGAAAAAUAAAUUGGGGCAAUGCAUUUUGCACACUAUGGAUUCAUUUUUUCAUCCCAAAUAAAAGAUCGAAUCUAGUUCUAGUAGUGCAUCUAAUUCUUCUAAUUUUCUCCGUACGAUUUUUUGAAUAUUAUGUAAUUAAAUAUUAAUAAACGACUUCAUUAUCAUUAUUGGUUUGUUUUCCCUUUAUACAGUUGACACACAAACUAACUAGACUCGAAUUCUGGAUUCCCCCAGCAUUAUCUAUUUAUAUCACUACUAGAAUAGCUAAAAUAAUAUUUAAAAUACGACAAUACUUGGAUUAUUCGUCUCGGCACGCCUAGACUCAUAAGGCUUGAGGUUCAAUCUCUUCAUCUGGUCACGUUUUAUGAUUUUUAAUAUCUAGCUCUUUAUAAUUUCUAAAAGAUGUGUCUUGGCUAUCGAGAAGUUAUGGCCAUUGGAAUAUGUUUCCAUCUAAAGAGACAUAAAGAAGGUGUUCAAAAAGACGUGAUUUUUUAGUCGUAGCAUAUUCCAAAAUAUUCUAAUAACCUUAUCUCCUAUAAUAUUCAUGUUUUAAGUGGUUCACAGUCGAUAUUGAUUAUUCAUUCACUCAAAAUUGAUUUCUAAUCAUAAAUAAUUUUCCAGUGGACAUGACGUUAUUACAUUUGGGGAAAAUCAUUCAUUUGUUUGGUCCACAGACCCCAAGCCUUCUCCAACGAACAUGACGUGACAAAGACGGAAAACGACUCAAUGGUCAUCGUAUUGAAUUACUUUAAUUUCUACAAAUUUUCCAUGAUUUGCUUGAGGCUAAUUCUGUAAAGUUGGGGAGUCAUUUAUCCAAACUCUGUUAAAUUGUUGAUUUCAGGGUGCAUUAUUAUGCUUUAAUUGAUUUUAAGUACAAAGUGACAAAUGGUUCAAUUGUGUGCA
rnacentral:lncRNA from 1 species